rnacentral:rRNA from 1 species
UUCGAGCUCCUCCAACCCCUGUGACAUACCAAUUGUUGCCUCGGCGGAUCAGCCCGCUCCCGGUAAAACGGGACGGCCCGCCAGAGGACCCCUAAACUCUGUUUCUAUAUGUAACUUCUGAGUAAAACCAUAAAUAAAUCAAAACUUUCAACAACGGAUCUCUUGGUUCUGGCAUCGAUGAAGAACGCAGCAAAAUGCGAUAAGUAAUGUGAAUUGCAGAAUUCAGUGAAUCAUCGAAUCUUUGAACGCACAUUGCGCCCGCCAGUAUUCUGGCGGGCAUGCCUGUUCGAGCGUCAUUUCAACCCUCAAGCCCUCGGGUUUGGUGUUGGGGAUCGGCGAGCCCUUGCGGCAAGCCGGCCCCGAAAUCUAGUGGCGGUCUCGCUGCAGCUUCCAUUGCGUAGUAGUAAAACCCUCGCAACUGGUACGCGGCGCGGCCAAGCCGUUAAACCCCCAACUUCUGAAUGUUGACCUCGGAUCAGGUAGGAAUACCCGCUGAACUUAAGCAUAUCAAUAAGCGGAGGAA